GGACACACUAGUUUGACUCUUUUAGAACAGAAUAUUGAAUGUGCUGUGAUACUUAAUCUAAAAAAAUAUGUUUGCAAAUACAAACUUUAUUUUUAUAUCUUCUACUAGAUCCUCAACAGUAGUCAAUGUUAUUGAGAAUGUAGUUCAGCUGUUUCAAUUGUUUCAUUGUAAUUAUCAUUUGUAGCUUUGACAAUUAAAUAAUCAGAUUUUCUCCAUCACAGAGAGAGGAGCAUGUUUUAACAGCACCCACCCUUGACACUGGCACUUGUUCCAACCAUCAUCAGACAACCCAUGGACCACCUGCUGGCCAUUGGAGGCAGUCUGCAGUGGAUCAUCCUUACUGUUUUUGUUCCUGGACACGGGAUUCUCUCUGUAAACACAUUUAUAAUCUCCUUGAUUAUUGAUGCCAACAAAAAAACAUCACAAAAGAUAUUUAUAACUCACAAUUUAAAUCACUUUUUUUUGUUACUAACAUAUUUAACAGCUACUGUGACCACAGGCCAGGGAGAUAUUUUUUUCCAGACUCCCCAAGUGGCAGCGGUUGGAGAAAUGAGAGUAAACACAUCUAUUCAGAUUUCUAAAGUGCAGGACAUCAUCUUAUCUAGACAGUGAUAGUUCAGUUUAAAACCUCUUUUCUUUUCUAUGUUCUAUGGUUCUGGUAAUUGAUAAAUAAUAAUAUAAAAAUAUAUUAAAAAUCUAUUUUUUAUUUUGGAACUGAUGGAAGCAGAGCCAAUUGUAAAUAAUCACUCAAGUUCCCACCUUUUCCUUUGUUAGUUCUAAUCAAGUUUCUUGUGUAUAUGUGUGAAAAUGCUGCACUUUUAUUCCCUUGUGUUUCCACGUGUUUGUUCCAGACACAUUGCACACCUCCUCUCUGUGGAUCCUGGAGGACACUUGACAGAAGUGAUGUUCCGGUCUGAUAUGUCAUUGCAUCUGCUAAAGUUUUCCAUUUGCUUAGUAUACUUUAAUUAAAACAAUUUUUUUCACUCCCAGACUCUGGCAAAGUAAGUGGUGAGCUCUAACAACUGUGGAAUGUUUC
rnacentral:lncRNA from 1 species